GAUGAACGCUGGCGGCAUGCCUAACACAUGCAAGUCGGACGGGCAGUGGUGUUUCUAGUGGCGGACGGGUGAGUCACGCGUAUGAACCUGCCCUUGGGAGGGGUACAACAACUGGAAACGGUUGCUAAUACACCGUAGGCAACGGUGCAUAAUACGGCAUCCGCUUGAGGAGGGCCUGGCGUCGGAUUAGCUAGUUGGUGAGGAAAUAGCGUACCAAGACGAUGAUCAGAAUCAGGGCUGAGUGGAUGAGCAGCCACACUGGGACUGAGACACGGGCCGGACUCCUACGGGAGGCAGCGGUAGGGAAAUUGCCGCAAUGGGCGAAAGCCUAACAGGGCAAUGGCGCGUGGAGGUAGGAGGCCCACGGAGAGUGAGCGUCUUUGCGCGAAGAAGAAACAGUGACGGUAUCUGAGGAAUAAGCAUCGGCUAACUCUGUG
rnacentral:rRNA from 1 species